GACGAACGCUGGCGGCGUGCUUAACACAUGCAAGUCGAACGGAAAGGCCCUGCUUUUGUGGGGUGCUCGAGUGGCGAACGGGUGAGUAACACGUGAGUAACCUGCCCUUGACUUUGGGAUAACUUCAGGAAACUGGGGCUAAUACCGGAUAGGAGCUCCUGCUGCAUGGUGGGGGUUGGAAAGUUUCGGCGGUUGGGGAUGGACUCGCGGCUUAUCAGCUUGUUGGUGGGGUAGUGGCUUACCAAGGCUUUGACGGGUAGCCGGCCUGAGAGGGUGACCGGCCACAUUGGGACUGAGAUACGGCCCAGACUCCUACGGGAGGCAGCAGUGGGGAAUAUUGCACAAUGGGCGGAAGCCUGAUGCAGCAACGCCGCGUGCGGGAUGACGGCCUUCGGGUUGUAAACCGCUUUCGCCUGUGACGAAGCGUGAGUGACGGUAAUGGGUAAAGAAGCACCGGCUAACUACGUGCCAGCAGCCGCGGUGAUACGUAGGGUGCGAGCGUUGUCCGGAUUUAUUGGGCGUAAAGGGCUCGUAGGUGGUUGAUCGCGUCGGAAGUGUAAUCUUGGGGCUUAACCCUGAGCGUGCUUUCGAUACGGGUUGACUUGAGGAAGGUAGGGGAGAAUGGAAUUCCUGGUGGAGCGGUGGAAUGCGCAGAUAUCAGGAGGAACACCAGUGGCGAAGGCGGUUCUCUGGGCCUUUCCUGACGCUGAGGAGCGAAAGCGUGGGGAGCGAACAGGCUUAGAUACCCUGGUAGUCCACGCUGUAAACGGUGGGUACUAGGUGUGGGGUCCAUUCCACGGGUUCCGUGCCGUAGCUAACGCUUUAAGUACCCCGCCUGGGGAGUACGGCCGCAAGGCUAAAACUCAAAGGAAUUGACGGGGCCCCGCACAAGCGGCGGAGCAUGCGGAUUAAUUCGAUGCAACGCGUAGAACCUUACCUGGGUUUGACAUGGAUCGGGAGCGCUCAGAGAUGGGUGUGCCUCUUUUGGGGUCGGUUCACAGGUGGUGCAUGGCUGUCGUCAGCUCGUGUCGUGAGAUGUUGGGUUAAGUCCCGCAACGAGCGCAACCCUUGUUCACUGUUGCCAGCACGUUAUGGUGGGGACUCAGUGGAGACCGCCGGGGUCAACUCGGAGGAAGGUGGGGAUGACGUCAAGUCAUCAUGCCCCUUAUGUCCAGGGCUUCACGCAUGCUACAAUGGCUGGUACAGAGAGUGGCGAGCCUGUGAGGGUGAGCGAAUCUCGGAAAGCCGGUCUCAGUUCGGAUUGGGGUCUGCAACUCGACCUCAUGAAGUCGGAAUCGCUAGUAAUCGCAGAUCAGCAACGCUGCGGUGAAUACGUUCCCGGG
rnacentral:rRNA from 1 species